AAAUAAUAAGAUGUCGUGUUGAUGACAAAGCCUAAAUCAACAAGCAAGUAAUGAUCACCAGGCAAUAGAAAGAGGUUGCCUCGGGAAGAAAGCUUUCAUUUGCACAUGAGCCUUUGGUACGACACCCUGGGAAUGGUGUAAGAGACUAGAAAGAUUUAGAUCCUGUAUCCUUGAAUUGUGAUAGGAGAGGAUUAAAGAAAAGCCAUAUACUCUUGGGUUACAGUGGGAGAACGAUGGUAUGAAUUUUUGCACCCCAAUGGAUUAAACUUGGAGGUUCACAGUGGGGGGCAACCUGGCUAAAUGUUUCUUCAGAAAAGCCAGUCAAGUAAGAAGGCGUUGUAGCACGCCAGUCACAAAGCCUUAAUAAACUUCGAGUAAUGACAACCUAAGCGGGAUCAUUCUCGAAAAAAUAAAAUUUUGCAUUCAUGCAAACACCAUUCACACAUGUCUAGGUAGGAGCAUUUGAUGCAUUUUGAUCAUGCCAUCCUAAUCAUUAGGCAUAAUUAGGUUCAUUAUAUAGGUCAUGUUCCCCAGAGAAUAGAUCAUUGAAAAUAGCAGAUCUUGCCUUCCUGCAUCGACAGCGAAGCAGAUCGAAAACAAA
rnacentral:lncRNA from 1 species